rnacentral:rRNA from 1 species
AAUGGCUGCAGUAAUUUGACUGUACAAAGGUAGCAUAAUCAUUAGUUUUUUAAUUAAAAGCUUGUAUGAAAGGUUGGACGAAAUAAAAUCUGUCUCUUUUUAAUAUAAUUAGAAUUUAAUUUUUAAGUUAAAAAGCUUAAAUAAAUUUAAAAGACGAGAAGACCCUAUAGAGUUUAAUAAUUUUUUUUUUUUAAUUAAUUUAGAUUUAUUUAUUUUAUUUUAAAAAAAUUAUUUUAUUGGGGUAAUAGAAAGAUUAAAAUAAUUCUUUUUUAAAAAAAUCAUUAAUUUAUGAAAAUUUAUGAUCCAUUGAAUUUUGAUUAUAAGAUUAAAUUACCUUAGGGAUAACAGCGUAAUUUUUUUUAAGAGUUCAUAUCGAUAAAAAAGUUUGCGACCUCGAUGUUGGAUUAAAGAUUAAUUUAGGUGUAGAAGUUUAAAUUUUUGGUCUGUUCGACCAUUAAAUCUUUACAUGAUCUGAGUUCAAACCGGUGUAAGCCAGGUUGGUUUCUAUCUUUAAAAAAAAUUUAAUAUUUUAGUACGAAAGGACCAGAUAUUAUAUAUAUUAAUAUUUAAGUUAUUGAAUAUU